GGGGGGGGGGGGGGGGGGGGGGGGGGGGGGGGGGGGGGGGGGGGAGCCGGGGAACAGCUGCUCCUCGGAGCCGGGGAACAGCUGCUCCUCGGAGCCGGAGGUGCUGCCCGGAGCGGGUGAGCUGCCGGCCGUGCUGCCCCGGGCCGGGCCGCGGGCGCCCCUGGCCGCGCUCGCUGCUUCCCCCUCACAAGCUGUGUAAUGGCGCCUCCUGCCUACCAGCACAAGGAAGCUGCUUCUGGCAGCUCGGCCGAAGAGCUUUCCCCGGGCUCCCUGCCGGGUUUCAGCGACAGGGAACAGCGGGGCGGCCGGGGAGCUCCAGCCCUGCCCCUCAGAGACCCAGCUGAGCUGUCUCAGGCCGUGGAUGGGAUGGACAGGCACCCUCCGAACGCGACAGACCGCGGCAAUCACACCCUGGCGCUGCAGCUCUGUGCAUGGCAGAAGCUUUGCCGAGAUCCGGAGCUCAGUGCAGGGGCCAGAGCAAAGAACACCCCUGGCAGAGGUAGCAGCAGCCACCUUGGUCACUGUCCUUGGCUAACAUCUGGUCAUUUUUGAGCCUCAGCGCUACUUGGUGGCUAUGGAGCAUAGACGAGUUCUCAAACUGGGGGCAAGGCAGAGUUUUCCACAGAUAGUGACUACAGAAGGAGAAGAAAGAGAAAUUCAGAUAGUGAUGAUGUCCUUCAUGCCAUUCUGAUUCUGCUGCACAGAGGUUCAGUACAGUAAAAAUUAAAUUACUUUCAAACAAAUGGCUUUUCAGAGAAUAAUGAGUUACUUAGACUUCUCUAGAAUAUAUUCUAGUACAAGUUAUUUGUUAAUAUGUGUAAGGGGAUCUGCCAUCAUUUCUAGCUUCCUUUUUUUUUACUACAUAUCAAUGUGGCUCAACUAAAACUCAGGCCAA
rnacentral:lncRNA from 12 species